CGACGCGCAAAACUCGCGCAAGGAAACGCGAUUUUUUGCAUUUUCCCCGUCGCGAUCCGGAAGAGGACGGCAUGAAGCACCUUAAGUCCAUCACUGCUCCUGGAAUCUGUUCCAGACUCCCAGUAUCUUGCUUGCUUUUGUUGAACAGCUUUUGAAACAUCAACAAAAUAACCAUGAAGGCCAAUGGGCUUCUCUCAUCUGUCCUUUUAUGCAUUCUCCUAGCUGCUGCAGGGCUCGGUGAUGUAACAAGCACUGCUUGGUGUCAGAUAUAUUCAGGUCAUUGCAAUCCAGUAUCUUCAUGCUAUCCACCUUACAUUUACAUUGGCAAAUGCGACAAUCAUUGGUGGUGUUGCACAAAACCAGCAAUAGCUUAACCACACCUUGAACCACAAUUGUGUUUUAAAAUGCAUUGAUGAAGUUCUUCUUCACUUCACCUCCAAAGAAUAUCCUGUGCUGAAACUAGUUGGUCUUUAAGGUGCUGUUGGACUCGGAUCUUGCUCUUCAACUGCAGACCAACACAGCUACCCACCUGAAACCACCCUGCUG